rfam:Schistosoma haematobium scaffold1367_5, whole genome shotgun sequence.
GCAUUGCUGAGGAGUCCCACAAUAGGACGGAACGGCCGUUCAGUGC